CGUCAAUUUUACAAGUCAAACCCAAAACACAGACGGCGAAAAGAUACAUUGUUGCAUGUUUGAACAGCACAGAUACGUACACAAUCAGAUUACGGGAUGACAGUGAUGCUGGUGGCGUGACUGGUAUAUAUGGAGCUUGGCGAAUGUAUUGAAUUAAAUGAGAGGCCAGCAACGGAUAAUGGAAGCUAUCGAUAGCAAUAUCAUAGGCGCUAAGGUUUUCUGCUAUCGUUUCUUGUUCAGUGCAGAAAAUGGCAAGAUUUGCUAUGGUACAAUUAACAAGUGUCUCCGACAUGCAGUGAUUAAUCUUUACGUAAUACGACUUGCAACCUGACAACUCGCAUCCUAGGUCCAUAUUAUAGCAGUAGAUGUCUCCACUGCAUAGUGACACGUUACGAAAGAUCCACAAGGGGAGAAGUUGUGAACUUCAUCCCGAUAUAGCAAACUAAAUGCCUAGGAGUCGUUGCCGUAGAUAAACAAUACAUCUCUACUUAAAUAACCGGUCUACUUAAGAUUUUCUUGUAAUGUAUUGUAGGAGCCUAGGUGGAGUGAGAGACAUUAAAGCAGUUCAAAAAUGCCUCGUAAACUUUGAUUUAUGGGUGUUACUGUUGCCGCCUUCAAACAAAAGUCGGUUAUUUUUAGAAGGCUGUAUAAUUCCGAUACCACUGAACAGUCCUCUUCGUGACGCACAGCA